rnacentral:RNase_P_RNA from 1 species
GGAGUCGGCCAGGCAACCGCUGCGUUUCACGACGUGGAGGAAAGUCCGGGCUCCAUAGGGCAAGGUGCCAGGUAAUGCCUGGGGGGCGCGAGCCCACGGACAGUGCAACAGAAAGCAAACCGCCUAUGUCGCGGCACGUGCAAACGGGUCGUGGC